UGCUCCACCUGCCCACCAGAAGGGUCCGGUGCCACCAGGGCCAGGGGAUGGGCUCCCGGGAGAGGCGGGCAGGGCAGGGUGAUCUGACCCCCGGGAGAGGGCGAGUGAAAGCCUUUGGCUGGCUCCUGCCUAAAACCGCUGAGCAAAGUGUUGGCAGAUUUGGGCUGUGGCAUCGUAACCACAGCAUCUGAGCACCUGUCGGGUACCAGGCACGUGACAAAUAGCCCAUUGCUUACCUUACCUCAUCACGGGAGGAGGCAGGACACCGUCCCCUCAUCGAGGCUUUCCUGAGAUCCCAGGGCUGGCGAAGGUUGGGCUGAAGGCCCAAACCCCGGGCCGGGCUUGUGCGUCCUGCCACCUGGCCUCGCCCGCCCAGGAGACCCCCGCAGCGCCGUCUGGGUUUGCGCACGUGGCUGCCGCGUCCGGUUGGGUUUGCCCAGAAGCGGAGCUGGAGGCGAGGGUUUGAGUCUAAGUGCUUGCUGUAGACUGAAUGUGCGUGUCCCCCGCAAAUUCACCUGUUGAAACCCGAAUCCCCAUGGGAUGGUGUUAGGAGGCGGGGCCUUUGGGAGGUGAUGAGGUCAUGAGGGUGGAAACCCCCGUGAUGGGAUCAGUGGCCGUGUAAGAAGGGACUCAAGAGAGCUCGCUGCUGUCUGCCCUCUGCCCCGUGAGGGCGCAAUGAGAAGAUGACCAUCUGGGGACCAGGAAGCAGACGCUCGCCAGACGUGGGACAGGCAGCGCCCCAAUCCUGGGUUCCCAGCCUCCAGGACUGGGAGAAGAAAAUGCUGGCUGUUUCAGCCCCCGGGCUGCGUACUGUGGUGGAGCAGCCUGCACUGACUCAGACGGCCCUGUAUUUGGGAAGCCAUCCCAGCAAGCAUCGGAGUGGGGUGGGGCUGGCCUUCCGCUGAGGGGCUGGGCUCCGGGUCUGCUCAAGACCCCUCACCCUCCUUGGGCCAGCGGGCCCCCUGGGCACCUUCUUGUUGGUUGGCAGAAGCACAGCUUUUGUAGGGAGGUUCCAAACCUCUGCUCAUCCCGCUGCUGCCAAGCCCUGCCUCGGCGGGGCCAGCAGGACAUUCUGCCCCACGCGGGAGGAAACGCCAAGACGAGGGGCAAAGGGCGUGGAGGCGGGGCUGGGAGCAUCAGGGACCAGGGAGCAAUGGACCACAGCAUCCUCCGGAUUUCCCUGUCUGCUUUCAGCACAAACUCCAAACUUGUGGAGUCAACAAUGCUUCCGGCCAUCGUGCCCCAGCCCCCUGGUCCCUCCAUCAUGGCGCUGCAGUGGCCCUGCACACGGCUUGCGCUCUUCUCCCUCCCUCAGUGCCCUUGCUGCUUUCUCCAGCCCUGCUUCCCCCUUCCUUCCUGCCCAAGGGUCCCCUCCUCCAGGAAGCCUUCCUGGACUCAGGUCCCCACUGGGGCUCCCUUUGACCCUUCAUCCUGCCGUGUCUCCCUCCACACCCACCUGUGGCCCCUGCCUGCACCAUCUCUUCUGAUAGACGAUGAUCUCUUCCAGGUCAGCAACUGCGUCUGGUUGCCCUUCUCACCCCCAGGGCCGAGCACAGUUUCCGCCCCACAGGAGGUGCCCCUGCCCCAAAUUUGAGGAAUAAAACGAAGAAGGAGAUGAGUAGACA
rnacentral:lncRNA from 1 species